AAGAAGCACCGGCUAACUCCGUGCCAGCAGCCGCGGUAAUACGGAGGGUGCGAGCGUUAAUCGGAAUUACUGGGCGUAAAGCGUACGCAGGUGGUCUGUUAAGUCAGAUGUGAAAUCCCCCGGCUCAACCUGGGAACUGCAUUUGAAACUGGCAGGCUAGAGUCUCGUAGAGGGGGGUGGAAUUCCAGGUGUAGCGGUGAAAUGCGUAGAGAUCUGGAGGAAUACCGGUGGCGAAGGCGGCCCCCUGGACGAAGACUGACGCUCAGGUACGAAAGCGUGGGGAGCAAACAGGAUUAGAUACCCUGGUAGUCCACGCUGUAAACGAUGUCGAUUUGAAGGUUGUGGCCUUGAGCCGUGGCUUUCGGAGCUAACGUGUUAAAUCGACCGCCUGGGGAGUACGGCCGCAAGGUUAAAACUCAAAUGAAUUGACGGGGGCCCGCACAAGCGGUGGAGCAUGUGGUUUAAUUCGAUGCAACGCGAAGAACCUUACCUACUCUUGACAUCCAGAGAACUUGGCAGAGAUGC
rnacentral:rRNA from 1 species